GCAAUUGAAGCUUAGGUAAGAGCGUCGGUCUUGUAAACCGAAGGAUGAAAGUAAAGGCUUUCCUGUUGCU
rnacentral:tRNA from 1 species